CCCUAUGCAAUAGAAGCCGUAGACCAUUUACAUCAUCACGAUAGUGCUGCACGAUAUAGUCCACUUCUUUUUCCUUUCCCAAUAGAAAAUCUUCAACCCGAGUUAGAUGACGGGAUGUUUCAUCAGGCUCAAAUAUUUCCGUUAGGCCCACAAGUACACUAUCCAAUAUAUGAAACUAUUUAACUCUAUAAAACUCUUCAGGUGUUGAAGCCACAAAAAGAACCCCCGCCCCAUCGUCAAUUCUUGCGGGGAUGUUUCUUUGUCUUGGUAGCCUAGGCUCUUCAAUCAAAUCGUUAACAGUUAGCAUAUUUUGGCUGGAUUGCCAAAUGUUUGAAAAGUAGCUCUCUUUCCUCGCAU